ACAGGUUCCUGUGACUCCUACUGACAAGAAAUGCUGGUCAUGACAUUGAGGACUUCUGGCUGGCUCUGCAUGGAGCUCACUUGGGGGCAUUUGAGGGGCACUUGCUGUAGAAACUGAGCUGUGGUUACACACGUCUGUCACUGUCAAGUUCCAGGCCCGUGGAUGCAUGGCCUGAGUGAUUUCACAACUUCCCUUGUGGCCAUGGGCCACGCCUCCUUCCUGAAAUGCCCUGAGGUCCUUCAAGUGCCCCUUCUGGGGAGGUUUCUGAUCUCUCCCAAGGCUGGCGGCUGCCCCUUCCCCGUGGUUGUCUUCCCCGCACUCAGCCCUCCCAGAGUCCAGCUGUCUGCACAUGCCUCCAGUGGGUCCUGGAAGCUCCUUAGCAAGUAUUUGUCUACUGAAUGGACAGAGGCUAAAGGCCCAUGAUCUUCAGAAAGAGACACUACCUGGACAAAUUUCAGGUACGGUAUUUCUAGAUAACGGAUGCCUGCAAUGCAUUCAUUCAUUCAACAGACCUUUACCGACCGCCUUGCUCUGCACUAGGCUAGCAUGAGAAGAUGAAAGGAGUAAAUACAAAGAAGAAUAAAGCAGAAUACGAAGUGAAGUGAGGAUACAGAAUGGUAACCAAGUAACUGGGACAUUCAGUUGCAAGCAAACAUGAAGAGCAGAGGGAACCUCGGAGGGGUGGCUCUAGGUGUGCCAGAAAAGUUGCACAGCGGAAGUGUCUUUGAGGUGCUCUUUGAAGAAUGCGAGUCCAUGAAGCAGAGGGGAGAGGGGAGCAGCUGGGGCCGGGCUGGAAGAGUCCUGGGGGCCGGGAAAAGGGGUUUGUACUUUGAGAGUCUGGAGCUUGUCAAAGUUUAAAAUAAUAACCUAAUGACACCAUCAGGUUGGACGAUGUCUUACCUGCUGAUUCCACAGUAACCCUGUGUCUGGGGAGAGGUUUACUGCUCUCCUCCUGUGUUACAAUGAGACCCAAAAUUCCAGAACCUUCUGCACUGGCAGACUCUUCUAUCCUGGGGACAUAGGGGUGCAGCCAUUACUCCCUCCCCAUGGGAACAGAGCUCGCUCUCUAGACCCCUGUUACGCUGACCCUCACUUCCAAUUCUAGAAGGAAUUAAAUGUAAAAACUACGGUUGGAGGUAAGAUUGCUCACCGCUUUCUGUGGCCAACAAAGUGGGGUCCCAUCUGCCAGCAUUUCGAAAUAAGUAUUCCAUUUUUUACAUCUGGUCAGACCCCCCCUACCCCAGGUGGUGAUACACCAGUGUGCGUGCUAGGGAUAUUUUAUAUUGGUGUUGUGGUCAUGUGUGAGUGUGAGUAUUUGUGGGUGUAUGUGUGUCUCAAGGUGGCAGCCACAGCUGACCCACCCUGAAAGAGGGCAUGUCAAAGUCAAGGUAAAAUGCUCGUCAAGCUGAUUCACAGGCAAAGAAAAGGACUGCUUUUUUUGUGAGAGUAUUUUCACAGUUUAGAACCAGAGGCUUCCAGACAUGGUUGAAAGCUAUGCUGGGCAGGAAACAUAAACCUUCCUUGCGAACCUCCUAUGAAGGGCAUGCCAACCAUAAAUAUUUAGCAUUAUUAAAUGCAAGUAUUUAUUAAAAACAUGGGGCUUUAUUUUAAAGGAUUUCCGGGCUUAUUGUACUUCGUGUCAACAAACGUUAGCAUGUAUGGCUUUACCUCCCAGAGAAAAGUUUCAGUAGCGGGCAUUUAGUGAGAUCUGUACACCUACACGUUGCAGAUGGUCUCGUUCUAUAAGAGAUGAAACUGCAUUUGGUGGAGCUGAUUAAAUAUAAAAACACCACCAUCUGCCAUUUAUUCUAAUAGAAAAUGGUUUGGGCAGAUGCUGACAUCUUUGGAGAUGAUUGAUUCAUCCCUGACAAGAGAAGUGGCUCAGAGCCAUCUAGCUGCCCACGGCUCAGACAAUCCCUGUUCACAACACAAGGGCCAAGCCGGGCGCUCUGAUUUGGAUGUAGCAGGUGAACAGACAGCACUUCAAUAACGAAAAGCCAAGAAUUUCUAAGCGCAUCGACUGUCUUCUCCCCACUCCCUGCCUCUCUUGACUUCUGGCCUAUAUUUAGCUGGAAGAAUAUUCUAGCCACACGCUGCAUUGUAUUAAGUGCCGGUUACUCCAGCACCGGGAUACCUGGAGGAGAGUCUAUUCUCAUUUUAGUGUUAAAAACUUUCAAAUGCUCUCUUCAUGUGCUACUGCUGGGUAGAGAAUUAUUUUCCCUAAGCCGACUGUAGGGUUUCAUUAAAAAAUAUAUUGUUUACAAAGCAACCAUGACACCCAUUCCAAACUGACUUGGAAACAGCUGUAUCCAUACUGUGAAACAUCUAUGGUGAUCAAAUGCCCUUUACAAGGAGAUAACAAACUGUGUCUUUCUGUAGGAAUAUUUUUGUAACAAUUCUUUUACAGCCUAAAUAUUUUCAGGAAGAAAAUUUAGACAUCAAGACAUUUAUUUGGUACUACGUUUAUAAAAUAUCUUUCUAUUUAUGUAGUGAUCGUUAGAUGUGAACUAAUUUUUUUUCUCUGAUAGAAUUAAAUUCAGAGGUGAAGCUGGGUUUUCCCAUCUUGUUCAUCACAUUUUAAAAUAUUUGAAUUCUUUGUGUUGUGUUAGGCAAAGUGAUUUAAGACUAUUUCUUGAUAUUAUUUUCAAUUAAAUGCAGCCAACCUACACCCCAGUGCAUUUGUGCUGCAAUUAACUAUAUUUGUGUGCCUAAAAUUAUGCCUGUUUGUAUAGAUAUGUUUCCAUUUUGUGCUCAUAGAAAAUUCUGUUAUUUUGAAUUAGGUGCUCGUCCACUUAGUGCCUCUCUAUUUCUCUAUUUCCUGUUGUCUAUUUCUUCUAACCGCUGUCUACUCUAAUAAUCAAAGCAGGAGAAUUAAAGUUCAUCUAUUUCUCUGCCAGCAUUUUACGUGAGACGUGCAGUAAGUGUUACUGGAAACUCCAUCUCUCAGUCAUGUUCCCAGCAUCUCUCUGUCACGUUCCCAGCAUCUCUCCUCUACCUCCUCUCUUCUCUGCCUCAUAGACCAGCCUUUGAACCACUUUUCAUAUCCUGCUGACAUCUUUCCUCCCCCUGCCCCCGACAUUGACCACUGGUCUUCUCUACGUUGUUUAUGAUCUUAUUUCUUUCUUAUUCCUCCAGGUGAUAGGCAUCCUAGGAGUCACCUUUCCAGAGCAGUGGGAAACUCUGAUGGGGUAGUUUUCUCCUUUCACUGGAGUUAUCACCACAGACUUUGGCCACCUGCCCACACCCUUCUUCUUGAACUUUCUCCUUGUCUCUCUACACGCAGAGGCAUUCUUUUCUUCCCUUUUCCUUCCUCACCUGUCUCUCCCUUUCUGGCCUUGCUUGUUCUUCCUCCCUGCCAAGAGGAACUACUCGCUGAGAGCUGGAAACACCUAGAAGAAUAAGAUGCCAUUAUGGGUAGAAUUGUCCCCCACCUUGUCCAUGUGCUGAAGUUCUAACCCCCAGUACCUCCAGAUGUGACCAUCUAGGAGAGAGGGUCUUUAAUGAGGGAAUCAAGUUAAUGUGAGCUCACUAGGGCCGCCCUGAUCCAAUUGGACUGAUGUCCUUAUAAGAGAGUCACCUGGAGGGAAGGUGACCCCACGAAGACACAGGGAGAAGACGGCCAUCUACAAGCCAAGGAGAGAGGCAGGAAGGACAGAGCCUUCCCUCUCAGCCUUCAGAAGGAACAAAUCCUGCUGACACCUUGACCUCGGACUUCCAGCCUCCAGAACUGAGAGACAAUGCAGGUCUGUCGGUCUUCCCCCAGCCUGUGGUGCUUUGUUACAACAGCCCUAGGAAACUAAUACAGAGACCAUCCCUGCCCUCAAGAGAUAAAGAUGCAGAAGGCAAUCAUGAGAUGGUGGCAGUUGCUAAUGAAGCGUGGUGGAAAGACAGAGAAAGUCAGAAUUUAGAGGAACAGUCAUGUGAACGGGUUGGGAAGGCUUCUUGGAGGAUGGGGCACAAAUGUUGCAACUUAAAUGAUGAGUAAGGAGUUUUCCAGCAGAUGUUUAGAAGCAAGUAUUCUGGGCAAAUGGGAAAACUUAUGCAAACGUAGGAGGACGCAGGGGAACUGUGGUCACAGGUGAGUUUUGUCUGGGCACUCGGGUAAUGAUGGUGGUUCAUGUGGUACUUUUUCCCUGCAUCCCUCUUCCUUCAGGACACGAACCCACUUCCUGCCUCUUCACCCUCCUUCAUUCUGACGGACGUUAUUUGGAAUCCAAACCUUGGAUUUGAAAUAUGAGAGGAACAUGCAUCCUGCUACCUCUUGCUGCAUAACUUAGUGGUUUAAAGUAAUAACAAGUUGCUGUAAAUCACAGCUCUGUGGCUUGGCUGAUUUCAGCUGGACAGUUCUCUCGGGGUCUCUCAAGUGCUGCCGUCGGAGGGUGACUGGAACUGGAAUUCAUCUGAAGUUUUGACCGGGCAGGGGUUCCAGACAGCUUCUUCACUCACGCCUGGCGCCCAGCUCGCAUGGAUGGCUGGAACAGCUGCGGUUGCCUGCAUCUUUCCAUGCCGCUUCUCCACAUGCCAGCAAGGGCGCCCUCACAGCAUGGUGGGACCAGGUGUCCAGACUUCUUGCUUAGGGCCUGGCUUUCUCCAGAACCAGCCUUUCAAGAGGCAAAGGCAGAAACUUGCCCCCAAGCCUUGAAAGUCAUACAGCAAUGCUUCUGUCACAUUUUAUCAGCUACUCCAGCUGGGCCAAGAUUCAAGGUGAGAGGGACUGCAGGGGGGCAUACCUACUGGAGGUGUGGCUAAUUAGAGAACAGUUACCACAAGCAGUUUCCAGGUCCUGUUACUGGCUUGUGUUGAGUUCCACCUUUCUUGUGGUUAGUGAGGUGAAUCUGUGAGAUCCUUGUCAGGAACUUGAACUAGCAACCAGCACCACAAAAUGGAUUUUAUUUACUUGAGAAAACUGGACCAAAGGAGUGUCAGAUUUAAUAACUAAGUCCUCUUCGCUGGAGCCAGGAUGACUGCAUGCAGAUGUCGCAGUCCGGAGCUCUGUUGGACAGUUCAGCUAGAGCCAAAAUUGGCCAGUGAUGGAGAUCAGAAACUCCUCUGGUGGUUUGAUACUUGCAGGGUGACUAGAGGAAUAAAGGGCAUCAUUUGUAAAGCCGUGAAGCCUUCCUUUAACGAAUGAGGGCCCAUUAACGUGAUCAUUCGGCCCCUUUAUAGGAAGUGCCUGGGUGCUCUCUGAUGCUAUGACCCACGGGUCAUGAUGCAGAGCCUUUCAAGGACAUCCUCUUUGAAGCCAAAGCAACUAAAAUAUAAGUCAAGUUUCAGGUGUACAGCAAAGUGAAUCAGUUAAUGACCUAUAUGAGAGAAGAAUCUAAAAAUGAGUGGAGAUCUAUAUGGAACUCAGCCUCCAGGGACUGCCUACCUGGAUUCUGCCUUGCUCCUGAGCCCAGGACUGGUCUUUGUUUUUUUUCUGAUUCCCCAUCCUUGAGUCCUCGAAGUGUUAUCUGUAGCAUCCUGGCUCUUCCGGUGCCAUCUUGCCUUGGUUGGGGCCUCCCUUGGCACUGGCUUGUGGCCUCCCAACCCGCCCUGUGUCUGCUGAGGUCCUGCUCCUGGCUGACAGGCCAACCGCGACCCCCCUUCUUGGGAUCCAUCACCCAUCGAGACGGUUACCUCCUUGCACACCUUCCAGACGCCCAGGACAGUGCACCCACCCGAUGGAUUGCCUCUCAGUUCCCACGGGGGUCCUGUCCCCUCAUCCCUGUGCCUGGCCCUGCUGGUGGGUCUCCUUCCUGCUUGGGCCUGUGUCCAUUCUCAGGAGUUGAUUUAUUGAUGGGUGACCUCAGAAUCGAUGUAUUUUUUCAGAUCCACAGAGUGAAAUUGAACCGCGUGUGAACACCUGAGAAAUGCGUGUGGCAAGUACAAUACAAUGGCCUUUGUUUUCUACUGGUCAGCGCAAAAGAUAAGGAAUCCAUCCUAGAAACAUGGAAUAGAAGUUAAAACAGCCAUAGCAGGCCUCCAUCUCUAUUUUUUUCCACUGUCUCAACUCUUUAGCCUGCCACUGUCUCCUAUCCGGCUCUGUGCCUCAGUUUCCUCAUCUGCAUCUGCACUGUGUGACUAUUGAAAGGUUAAGUGAAAUAACACACACCGUGUUUAGAAGAGUGCCUGGCACGCAGUAAGCGCACAAAGACGUGUGUUAUUACGAUCAUUAUUAUAAUGCCAUCAGCAGCCCAGACUCGGAGUGGGCUCUAUUCCUCCAAGGUGAUGGCCGGCAGAACGAUGUUUUUGUCAAACUGGUCCUUCCAUAAGCACCAUCUGUCUCUGGACCAGGAGGGUGCAGUGCUUGGGAACGUGUCUAACGGACUGCGGGAUGAUUUACAAAUUGGACAUCAAUGCUUCUCGGAAUCUGCAGGUCAUAAAAUCCGCUUCAAGCAAAGCCCACUCAGAGCUGUCAGGAUAACUUCAAUGGGAUGCUUUCCAACAAUAUAUGGGGAGAUGGGGCCCUGGCAGAAAUUACAUCUAUUUUGAUCAUUUUAUACAAAACCGCCCAAACUUUAUGACUGGAACCUCAUAUGUCAAUCUCACUGAUACAUACGCUGUCAGCUCAGUGAUCACGAUCAUGUAUUUUGACAGCAACAUCUGUCACCUGUUCCGAGGCCUCUGUUUAUUUGAUGUAACAGACUAUGUGGCAUCGUACGCUUUCUGUUCCUUCAGGUACAUUUUCCCAAAUUCCACGGGCUCCUGGAGGAAAUGCCGCUUCAGAUGGAGGAGGAAGGACCUGGGGUCUCAGCCACGCUUCUAGCUACAUGCCCAUGGCCUGUCUGGCAAAUACGGGGUUGCGUCACAAUCGUCAAAAAUAUUUGUGUAUCCCUCAGACCGAGGCCCUUCGGAAGACUAAAUACACAGGAUUUAUAAUGAGACUCGAUUAUGGUUGCAGCAAAGGUGA